rnacentral:rRNA from 1 species
GAUGAACGCUGGCGGCGUGCUUAACACAUGCAAGUCGAACGAAGAUGCCGGAGUGCUUGCACUUUGGCAGACUGAGUGGCGGACGGGUGAGUAACGCGUGGGUAACCUGCCUUAUACAGGGGGAUAACAGUUGGAAACGACUGCUAAUACCGCAUAAGCGCACGGUAUCGCAUGAUACAGUGUGAAAAACUCCGGUGGUAUAAGAUGGACCCGCGUCUGAUUAGCUUGUUGGUGAGGUAACGGCCCACCAAGGCGACGAUCAGUAGCCGGCCUGAGAGGGUGAACGGCCACAUUGGGACUGAGACACGGCCCAAAACUCCUACGGGAGGCAGCAGUGGGGAAUAUUGCACAAUGGGGGAAACCCGUGAUGCAGCGACGCCGCGUGAGUGAUGAAGUAUUUCGGUAUGUAAAAACUACUAUCAGCAGGAAGAUAAUGACGGUACCGUGACGUAAGAAAGACACCGGCUAAAUAACGUGCCAG